rnacentral:lncRNA from 1 species
CCCAACCAUCUUGAUAACCGCAUGUUCCUGGUGCAGUUCUUUGUCCUGGGACACAAGAACCUGGACGCUGUCCAUCUCCAAGAGAGAGGGAUUCACUCUGAGGCCUUCAUGUCCCCACCUCUCUAGGUCCCCAGCCCUGGCCACCUCCUUUCUCCAGAGCCCCCCCAUGGCCUGCCCAAAAGUCUAGGGCGAGUCAGGAGGGGACCGCGCUCCUGGCUGGGGCAGGUGUGGAAGGCCGGGGCUCACAUGGAUCUGUCCAUCCUGAUUCUCCUUCUGCUGUUACUGCUGCUGUUACUGGGUCGAUUAAGGCGCGAAUACCGGCUAAGCACCACAGCUCACCCAAAAGGGAGAAAAAGAUACUCAGGAGAUCCAGCCAGCGGCCCACGGUCAUCAACAGAAGGAAGAGGCCACCCAUGCGCACCAGCACCGUCUGGACCUGGCCCUGUAGGCUGAAGCGAUGUUGCCACUGCUCCUCUGUGGGACGCGGUUGUCACUGUCUCAGCCGGCACCUUCUGGAGAUCAGCUGGGGCCAGCCUGUUUCACUUCUCAGCUGCCUUCCCCGGGGAUCUUGUCAGCUUCCCUGACUGCCUUCCCACAGCCCUGCUUCUGUCUCUGGGCACCUACAGGACUUCUUACCCACCCUUAAGUUUCCCCCUGGUUGAGGACAGAGCCCUGCCAGUCGAUGGCAGGAAUCUAAGGUUCUCCCCCUUUCUGCCUGUCAGUUUGAAUCAUCCGCAGCUCAGUUGGCUUCUGCCAGUCUCUCUCUUGUUCCAUCCUGGUCCCAGCCACCUUCCCCUCUUGCCGAAGCUCACUCAUCAAGGCGCCUGAGUUUUGUUCCCGACCAAGCUCUACUGACCAUCUAAAGCGACCUAAACACACCAAUAAGAUGACACCAUCCCUCUGCUUUUAGAGAACUCUAAUGGAAGUCUUGUUUUCCACAGUCA